GCUGGACAGGGCUUGUCCCUUUGAGAGCUGCUGGAAACCACAGGGUGACUAUUGGAAGAGUGCAAAACAUUGGAAUAUAUAGAGAUCUUAAAGCUUCCUCUGUCUGGACAACUCUGGUUCCUGCUAUUGAUUGGGAUUCUCAGCUGUGGAGAUGAUGCAUUUUGCUGAAAACUGAUUCUAGGCCAGCGUUUCUUUGAUUCUUGUCCCCCAAAGAAUGGCAACAUUAAAUAGUAUUGGUUGAAUUGUUGUAUAAGCUGAAUUUGCA